AUUUACUUAAUAUAUAAUAGUAUAUUUGACUUCCAAUCAAAAAGAUUAAAAACUUAAAGUAAAUA
rnacentral:tRNA from 1 species